GACGAACGCUGGCGGCGUGCUUAACACAUGCAAGUCGAACGGAAAGGCCAUGCUUUUGUUGGGUUCUCGAGUGGCGAACGGGUGAGUAACACGUGAGUAACCUGCCCUUGACUUUGGGGUAACUUCAGGAAACUCGGGCUAAUACCCCAUAGGAGCUCCUGCUGCAUGGUGGGGGUUGGAAAGUUUCGGCGGUUGGGGAUGGACUAGCGGCUUAUCAGCUUGUUGGUCGGGUAGUGGCUUACCAAGGCUUCGACUGGUAGCCGGCCUGAGAGGGUGAACGGCGACAUUGGGACUGCGAUACGGAGCAGACGCCUACGGUAGGCAGCGGUCGGGAAUAUUGCACAAUGGGCCGAAGCCAGAGGCAGCAGCGCCGCGUGCGUGAUGACCUCCUUCGGGUUAAAAACCGCUGUCUCCUGUAACGAGGCGUGAGUGACGGUAAUGGGUAAAGAAGCACCGGCUAACUACGUG
rnacentral:rRNA from 1 species